CUUAAGCAUUAAUCUGCUGGAACAUCACUAGUAAUGAACAUCUAUGCUGUGUUUGGAAGAUGACCGAAAAGGGAGGGUAGGAAAAAUUGGGUGGAUGGGAAAACUCUUAAUUUUCUGUGAGAAGGGAAAGGAGGGAACAUCUAAGGUAUUGAGCAUUUACAUCCUGAUUUUAUCGUUCCACUCCCAAUCGUAACUUUAUGGUACCGGAUAUAUGGUGGUUUAACAACCAUUGGAUCAUAAAGAA